rnacentral:rRNA from 1 species
GACGAACGCUGGCGGCGUGCCUAAUACAUGCAAGUAGAACGCUGAAGGAGGAGCUUGCUUCUCUGGAUGAGUUGCGAACGGGUGAGUAACGCGUAGGUAACCUGCCUGGUAGCGGGGGAUAACUAUUGGAAACGAUAGCUAAUACCGCAUAAGAGUAGAUGUUGCAUGACAUUUGCUAAUAAGGUGCAAUUGCAUCACUACCAGAUGGACCUGCGUUGUAUUAGCUAGUUGGUGGGGUAACGGCUUACCAAGGCGACGAUACAUAGCCGACCUGAGAGGGGUGACGGGCCCACCGGGACUGGGACACGGGCCAGGACCCUACGGGGGGGAGCCGUAGGGAAACUUCGGCAAUGGGGCGAAGGCUGGCCGAGGCACGCCGGGGUAGGUGAUAAGGGUUUCGGAACGGUAAACUCCGUUGAUUGGGGAGGACGAGUGUGAGAGUGGAAAAUUCACGCUGUGACGGUAUCUUACCAGAAAGGGACGGCUAACUACGUG